rnacentral:lncRNA from 1 species
CUUCUCAUCGAUGACUAGCUCGAUAUUACAGCUGUGUGUCUAGUUCUUUGAUCUGAGGUACAUUGACAGUUCACCUUAAGUGUGUUAUAGUUUGACUAUACCGUAACUCGAUCUCCGAGCCAUUCGAAAUCCUGAGGUGUAUGUUGACUGUAGCAUAUUCAUUAUAGGAACCAGAUCGCACCAAGAAGGGAUCUAUCAAGCUCGAUAGAUGAGAGGAGUAGUCCUAUGAUGAUCGAAAGAUCGAGUCCUUAAGCCCAUG